UGCCUACUAGUGCCCAAUGCAGUGCCACCUUGAGGACCCACAAUUCGGACCAAUGUCAAUAGGGGAUGUGCAUGGAACUUGCAUACCUUGCUCAAUGGAUACCUAUCUGCAAGGGUGCCAAUUAUGAACAAAAUAGGUCGAUGUCAAACUCUGCUACAGGUGGCCGAACUUUGAUCUUAUUUUACUCAGGUUGUGAUGCUGAAACUUGGACCAGUUGCAGCCCUUUCUAUAACCAUUUCAUAAAUAAAUUUACAAACAAAUUGAACAACUUUUACUUUAACCCGUAAUAAACCACCUUAUGGGCACUAACUCACAGAUCAGUAAGGAGACCUUUGGAGCACUAACCUCACAGCCCAGUAGGGAGUUCCUAAAGGCAUAACAGAAUCGUCCACGGUCCACGACCAAGCGUUGGUAUCCAAGUCGAACCGGCCACCGACCCAGAAAUCAGUUGUCAGCCCUGCAACACCAUAUACCAACAAUACUUAUCGUGUAUCACUGUCAUAAAUGUUCAGUGAUCUUUGUGAUCGUCACUCAGCACAAUGCACGGUAUUGUGCUCCGUACUAUAUAUAUGUCGUACCUAGUAGCCAGAACGCACU